rnacentral:rRNA from 1 species
UACGUAGGGGGCGAGCGUUGUCCGGAUUUAUUGGGCGUAAAGAGCUCGUAGGCGGUUUGGUAAGUUGGAUGUGAAAUCUCCAGGCUCAACUUGGAGGGGUCAUUCGAUACUGCCAUGACUAGAGUUCGGUAGGGGAGUGUGGAAUUCCUGGUGGAGCGGUGAAAUGCGCAGAUAUCAGGAGGAACACCCGUAGCGAAGGGCGGCACUCUGGGCCGGAACUGACGCUGAGGAGCGAAAGCGUGGGGAGCGAACGG